rnacentral:rRNA from 1 species
GACGAACGCUGGCGGCGUGCUUAACACAUGCAAGUCGAACGGUAAGGCCCUUCGGGGUACACGAGUGGCGAACGGGUGAGUAACUCGUGGGUGAUCUGCCCUGCACUUCGGGAUAAGCCUGGGAAACUGGGUCUAAUACCGGAUAGGACCACUGCCUGCAUGGGUGGGGGUGGAAAGCUUUUGCGGUGUGGGAUGGGCCCGCGGCCUAUCAGCUUGUUGGUGGGGUGAUGGCCUACCAAGGCGACGACGGGUAGCCGGCCUGAGAGGGUGACCGGCCACACUGGGACUGAGAUACGGCCCAGACUCCUACGGGAGGCAGCAGUGGGGAAUAUUACACAAUGGGCGCAAGCCUGAUGCAGCGACGCCGCGUGAGGGAUGACGGCAAUCGGGUUGUAAACCUCUUUAAGAAACGACGAAGCGCAAGUGACGGUAGGUGCAGAAGAAGGACCGGCCAACUACGUGCCAGCCGCCGCAGUAA